rnacentral:snoRNA from 1 species
UGCCUCCUGGUGCUUAUCACAGGUUGUGGUCUUACACUGACUGUAUAGAUAAAGAGGAGGAAAAGUAAACCUAUCCCAUAUACAGUUCAAUCCAGGCCCUGUGCCUGGUCUGCACUGUGCAUGGAUGACAUGG